CUUGAGCUCACUUUGUAGCCCAGGCUGGCCCCAAACUCACGGUGGUCCUCCUGCCUCAGCCUCCUGAGUGCUGGGAU
rnacentral:miRNA from 1 species